rnacentral:lncRNA from 1 species
GAAAUGGAUAAGGCAGUUAUAGCCAGGAGAUGCAAGCACUCUUCUUUGGUACAAAGAGAGUACAAGUUCACUAAAUGCUGGGAUUAAUUGGUUGGCUGUCUUAAUUCUGCAAUGAACAAAAAGAAAAAGAAGUCUGAGUUGCUAAAUCUACCAAAUUCAAAGUGGUUCAUUACAAUAUAGAGGCCUCCAGAGGAACGCAGGGGAAGCAUGGAGGGAAAUGAGAAGAGAACUGCAAUUCAUUUCACACCUGUUGCAGCAUAUCCACAGGACAACUAAUAAUACAUGUGAGAAAAAAAAUUCCUAAUGGUCUUAAAGAAAAUAAGCCUAUAAACUAGGCUCUAGGCCUGUGCCUUUCAGCUGUAAAUCAGGCUCGCUCGUACUAAACUGCAUCCUCAAGAAGCUCACUAUUAAGAGGACAGCAUACCUCAGUUUCAAAACGUAUGAAUGAUUUGCAUUUUCAUCCAUCAAAUGAGUAAACCCAACAGACACUAGGCGGAAUAUACAUCCUAGCUAAGUCAUCAUAGGGACACCCCCAAAUCCACAUAAAUAUACCCAGUUCCCGGCCAUGAUGUAGCUCUCUCUUGAGUGCAUGCACUCUACUUCCUCCAGUGUGUACUUUUAAAAUUCUGCC